rnacentral:lncRNA from 1 species
CAGGGGGUGGCAGGGGAUAGCAGGGGCAGAGUCUGUGCUGAAUAUGUGACCGCUGCGGCUGUGCUUCUGCUCCUUACUCUUGUCAAAACCAUCAUCAUUCUUACCACCCAUUGUAGUAUCUCCAACCGCAACACGGGAUCGGUCCCCAGGGCCCACCCCUCGGUUGCUGAGCCUCCUCGCCGAGUCUAUACACGCAUCCCUGAUGACCCAGGAUAUGUUAAGCUCCUUCUCAUGGAGCUGAAGGAUUUUGCCCCCAAACCUUUGUCCACUUUGCAAAAGCUCCCAGCCCCCUCCCUGCCUCCUUCCCAAACGUAUCCACUUGCUCUGCAGCCACAACUGCCCCCUCCCCCUGCUUGGACAGCCCCCGGAGGAUGGAGGAUGCUCUCAGUCCCCAGGGUGGGCUUCCCAGUCAGCUCCCUCAGGCCCUUGGUCCCUGCAGAAAGAUCCCCAGUCUCCAGCAUCAGAUAGGCCAGCCUGAGCCGAGCAGCCUCCGAGCCAAGGAACAGGCUGGUACUCCAGUUUCCCCAGACCUCGGCUUCCCCUCCUGCAAAAUGGGAUGACAACGCUGGCCUAGUGAGAGCGAUGAGGGAGUGUGUCCCAGGGCCACCGGCAGAGCCUGCCCAGCAGCCUGCACUCUGAUCUUGGGGGGCACACUGACAACACCUGCGGCCCCUGCUGGGUCCUGGGGGGCACAGGGAAGCCCCGUAGGGGCUGGUUCUCCACAAACUCCCCCACCUUCAGGGCUUUUUCCAACACAAGGCGAAGGGGCCACCCAGCAUAAGGGUGGCCACCCUGAGCCCUGGCCCCACAGGGAGUCAGGAGCCAGGAGGUCUGUCCUGACCUCCUCUUGCACCCUGAGAGAUACGUGGCAAAAACUCAAACAUGGAUGUGGCUCCCGUCCCUCCUGCCACACAUCCUUUGGCAAAUCUGAUGAAGAAUCUGCAGCCUCUCCAUGAACACUGGCCUCCUCGUUGGGUCCCCAGUCAGGUUCCACACAGGAGGCCUGGCCGGGGUUAGGUCCCCUAAACCCUCUGGGGUGGAUUUUAUCCUGAAAGUGCUUUGGAGUCUCAGGCAGGAGAGAAAAGAGAAGGAAUUUGAGUUAUAGAAAGAAUUCUCUUGCAACCGUGGCCGAGUGUUUGUGGGAGGAAAGCUGGGAGGAUGAGGGCCACACGUUGGAGGGUGUCUAACCGUCUGUGUUAGCACUGGACAGCCACUCCCCGAAGGACCCUCAGUCCCAGCCAAGCCAGCUCGGUGGGUCAGCCUGGCUGGUCUGGAGGCCUUUACGGUACAUCAGGUAGAGAGACAGAGGCUGGCAAAGGACGGAGCAGACUCUGGGAAUGUUUGGGGACAAUCAACAGAUCUUGGAGGAGUCAAGACUGCAGGAGGAAAACAUUCAUUUUGGCCACGUAGAGACUGAAGUUCCAGCGGGACACCUGGAUUUCAGGACAGGCCUGGGAACUGCCAUCACAGAAAUAAUAACGCAAUGGAAUUCUAAGAAACAUGAACGGCCAAGGCAGCCCAUGAAGUCCUUCCUGACUUGUGUCACUUCCCUGUAUCAGGCAAGCACUCACGCUGACGUGAUGGCAUAGAAGGACAGGGAAAGGCGGGACCCGCUCCGGCUCUUUUCCUCUCAGCCCUUCCUUACUCAUAGCCAGCCCCUGCCAAAGGCUGCUACCAAGACUGGAGUUGAAACCAGGGGCCGCAGGGCCGGGGCACUGAGGGCCCUCACCCACGCGGGCAAACGCCCCGAGCCUUGGGUAGUGGGCAAUGCAGGGAGAGGUGAUGAGAACUCAGCCAUUGCCCAGCACCACGGGCAGACCAGGGAGAGCCGCUCUGCCUUGGGGUUUCAAGAGCUUAUUUUCUGAUACAUGAAUCAAAUGAGAGUGAAACGAAAAUGUGGCAGGGCAGUAUGAAAAGGGGGAAAGAAUAACCUGUCCGUGGAAAAACCUGACACCUCCCGCUCAGCCAGGUGAUCCGGGCCCACAUCACAGCCGCAUGGUGGGUGAGAGCUCGGACCCUUCACGUGGUGGGGUGAGAAGCGCACUUCACCUCCGUGCUUCUGGCCCCGGAGAAAAACCGAGACACAUCCCAAUAGAGGGACGGUCUGUAAAACCCCUGACCAGGCUGGGCGCAGUGGCUCACGCCUGUAAUCCCAGCACUUUGGGAGGCCAAGGCGGGCGGAUCACUUGAAGUCAGAAGUUCGAGACCAGCCUGGCCAAUAUGGUGAAACCGUGUCCCUACUAAAAUACAAAAAAAAAAAAAAAAUGUUGGGCAUGGUGAUGCACACCUGUAGUCCCAGCUACUCGGGAGGCUGAGGUAAGGAGAAUCGCUUGAACUUAGGAGGUGAAAGUUGCUGUGAGCUGAGAUUGCACCAUUGUACUCCAGCCUGGGUGACAGAGCAAAACUCCGUCUCAAAAACAAACAAACAAAAAACACAAGGAAAGUCCGAGUACUGUCACAGCCAAGAGGAGCCUGGAGACCCGAACACUGCAUGUCAUGUGAGAUCCUGGAAAAGAAAAAGGAUAAUAGGUAAAAACCAGGGCAAUGUGGAGAAAGUGUGGACUUUAACAUCAAUGCUGGUUCUUUAAUUGUGACAAAUUUCCCACAUGAAUGAAAGGUAUUAAUGGGAGGGGAAAUGGUGUCAGGUAAUGAGAACUCUGUACAGUCUGCAACACUUGUCUGCAGGUCGAAAACCAUUCUAACAUGAAAAGUUUACUGUUUCUUUUUUAAAGCAACGGAACAUCAUUCAAAGAAUACAGAUAGUUUACAAGAGAAGAAAUACAAAUGAAUCAACAAACGUGAUAAAAUCCUCAAUCUUAGUGAUGAUUUAAUACAAAUAAAAACAGCAAUGAGGCAUUUUUGCCAAGAUGCAAAGAUCUAAAACUCUGAUAAUAUCACAUGUCGGAGGAGGCAUGCGGAAACAGGUGUGCACUGUGGCAGGUGAAGAAAUAAAUUGGUAAGGUGUUGUUAUCUCUUAUAAUAUACAAUCUUCAUACACUGUGAGCCAGCAACUCCACUUCCAGAAACUUCACCCAUAGAAAUAUUGGGACAGAAACAUUUACUCAAGUGCACGAAGAUAUUUGAAGCAGUAUUGUUUUGUAAGGGGGAAAAAUUGAGGAAAAGGGAGUCUAUGAAAAGAAAAUUGGCUAAAUAAAUUUUGAUACAUUGAAUGAAAUGUUAUACAUUCUCUUAAAAGCACUAAGUAUAUUUUUAAGGAAUAUGUAAGGCAUAUUCUUGCAUAGUAUGAUUUUUGAGCUAUGUUAUUAAGUUAAAAAAAGGAAGUUGUAAAACAUUUCAAUAGUGUGUAUACACAUAGGUGUACGUGUGUAUAAACAGGGCUGAUGUUGCAGGAACACAACGGCUGUGGUCACACAGGGCCCCGAGCCCAGAAGGACCUGUGCUUGGCUUAAUGCCCUGCCACUGCCAGCUCAAAAUUCUUAAUAAUUUUAUCUUUGUUGGGUGCAAUGGCUCAUGCCUGUAAUCCCAGCACUUUGGGAGGCUGAGAUGGGGGGGGGUCACUUAAGCCCAGGAGUUCAAGACCAGCCUGGGCAACACAGUGAGACCCCCAUCUUUACAAAAAAUAAAAAAUAUUAGCCAGGCACAAUGGCAUGUGCCUGUAGUUCCGGCUAUUCAGAAGACUGAGAAGGGAGAAUGGCUUGAGCCUGGAUUUUUGUUUGUUUGUUUGUUUUGUUUUGUUUUGAGACAGAGUCUUGAUCUGUCGCCCAGGCUGAAGUGCAGUGGUGCGAUCUCCGCUCACGGCAAGCUCCGCCUCCCUGGUUCACGCCAUUCUUCUGCCUCAGCCUCCCGAGUGGCUGGGACGAUAGGCGCCCACCACCAAGCUUGGCUAAUUUUUUUGUAUUUUUUUUUAGUAGAGACGGGGUUUCACCGUGUUAGCCAGGAUGGUCUCGAUCUCCUGAUCUCGUGAUCCGCCCGCCUUGGCCUCCCAAAGUGCUGGGAGAGCCUGGGAGUUUUUGUUGUUGUUGUUGUUGGUUUUUUUUGAGACAAGAGUUUCACUCUGUCAUCCAGGCUGGAGUGCAGUGGUGCAAUCUCGGCUUACUGCAAUCUCUGCCUUUCGGGUUCAAGCAAUUCUCCUGCCUCAGCCUCCCGAGUAGCUGGAAUUAUAGAUGCCUGCCACCAUGCCCGGCUAAUUUUUUUUUUUUUGUAUUUUUAGUGGAGACGGGGUUUCGCCAUGUAGGCCAGGCUGAUCUCAAACUCCUGACCUCAGGUGAUCCAUCCACCUUGACCUCCCAAAGUGCUGGGAUCACAGGCAUGAGUCACUGCGCCCAGCCAAGCCUGGGAAUUUGAGGCUGCACUCCAGCCUGGGCGACAGAGCAAGACCCUGUCUCGACAUAAUAACAUAAUAAUAAUAAUGAUGAUGAUUAUUUUAUCUUUGAGCUUGUGUUUUGCAACUGAGGUCUCUGGGGUGGUGGAGCGCACGUGUGGGCAGAGACUCACAGGACGUGCCCUACUGCCAUAUCACAUUGGCAAAGCCCCAUGAGCACAGUGUCCCAGCAGACCCACGCCCGUGGGUGUUCAGUGAGACUCAGUGAGCAAGGUGAACAUAUCAUGUCUGCAGCUGAGGACGAGGGGACCCAGGUGGUUCCAAAUGCCCACGCUUUCUGUUCCAACCAGAACUUGCUUCAAUCACAGAAAUAAUAACGCAAUGGAAUUCUAAGAAACAUGAACGGCCAAGGCAGCCCAUGAAGUCCUUCCUGACUUGUGUCAUUUCCCUGUAUCAGCCAAGCACUCACGCUGACGUGAUGGCAUAGAAGGACAGGGAAAGGCGGGGCCCACUCCGGCUCUUUUCCUCUCAGCCCUUCCUUACUCAGCAGGAGGCUGGAGGCGGGGAGUGUUGGGAGAAUGUGCAUCUCAAGAAGUGAAAUACACGCAGCUGAGUCUGGUUUGUGGGGCGUCUCCACUCCGCUGCUAAACACGAAGGUUAUCUACAUUGAGCAAAGCAAAAAUCCCAGACCAACCGUGGCAGAUGGCAGAGGAAGAGACCAAAGGCUGAGAGACGUGGCGGGGCUGGAGUGGCG